AUUGAACGCUGGCGGCAGGCCUAACACAUGCAAGUCGAGCGGAUGAAGGGAGCUUGCUCCUGGAUUCAGCGGCGGACGGGUGAGUAAUGCCUAGGAAUCUGCCUGGUAGUGGGGGAUAACGUCCGGAAACGGGCGCUAAUACCGCAUACGUCCUGAGGGAGAAAGUGGGGGAUCUUCGGACCUCACGCUAUCAGAUGAUCCUAGGUCGGAUUAGCUAGUUGGUGGGGUAAAGGCCUACCAAGGCGACGAUCCGUAACUGGUCUGAGAGGAUGAUCAGUCACACUGGAACUGAGAAACGGUCAAGACUCCAACGGGAGGAAGCAGUGGGGAAUAUUGGACAAUGGGCGAAAGCCUGAUCCAGACAUGCCGCGUGUGUGAAGAAGGUCUUCGGAUUGUAAAGCACUUUAAGUUGGGAGGAAGGGCAGUAAGUUAAUACCUUGCUGUUUUGACGUUACCAACAGAAUAAGCAACGGCUAACUUCGUG
rnacentral:rRNA from 1 species